UUGCUGAACCUAUUCACCCAGCAAUGAAUACUCCAGAUGACCUCAAUCUUAAAGGCUCUCCAGGAGAAAAAAGACCAAAAUGGCAUGACUGUAACCUGAUCUGAAAGGCAAGGUCUGUCUGUGCUUGUAAACAAGGAUUCACUUGUGUGUGCCUCAGAGUUAGCAGAUCUUAAUGCAAUAUUGGAAAUCAAUGACUGCUUCAAUGAAGUUCUGUAUGUGUAUGCAAGAGAGGAAAAAAAUCACGCAUUCCAAGAAUUAACACACAAAACAUUACCUUUUCAAAUUUAAUUAUCCACCUUUUUUGGUUUAGUUGGUUCUUGAGUGUGUGUUCAAAGUGUUUAGAUAUACCACAGACCUAAAAAACAUAGCAGAGCUCAAUAGAUCUUGUUAGCUUUAUUUUAUAUGAACACUAUUUUUCCCUCUAAAAGUCACCUAGGAAAAAGCUCUAAUUUACUGAAAAAAAAUAUUAGUUUAUAUAUGUAUACUUUGCCAGUAGAAAAAGUAGAUCUCUCCAUUCAUUCUAAAGGUUUUAGAUAAUUUUCCACCUAUACACCUCCAAUAUUUUUUCAUGGUAAAAAUCAUCAUUAUGUGCUUGUAUUUCUAGCUCUAUAUGCAACCUAUUUGCAGACUGUUUAUAACACUAUUGUUACACAUGUGUCUUGAGCUGAAAGAAGAAAAGACAGCUUGCACACAAUAUAUGAUAUACAGACGAAAGAUCACAGGCAAGGUUUUAUUCUUUUACAUAAAGUGCUCUGGAUGCUUUACUGUCCAGGCAGGUCCAGAUCACCACCAGCACGAUAAGCCUCCAGAAAGCCAUCAGAGUGCACGAUCUGCUGUUUGUGUUUAAAUUCUGCUGUGGUGCUACCUUACUGCUGUGGGAGCAAAAAGUAAGGCUUUCAGAAGCAUUUACUAAAUGCAUGAAUGUAUUGAUGAAUACCUCUCUAAAGAGACUUAAUGGGAGUUUCCUGUUAAACGCAUAGUUAAAGCAGUGAGAUAACCUGGCAUAUUGGUAAGAAUUCAAAUCAGUUUACAAAUAAUCCACUCCCAACCCUCCAUUUAGUUUAUCCUCCUGUGUAAAAUCUAAAAAUUAGUUUUAAGCCAAGUGUGCAUUGCACUCUACCCUCUUUUUGAGCAUCCUUCUGUCAGACUUCACUAUUUAAAAACUGUUAUUUCUGAGAGCAGAGGACCCCUGUUGCUAUACUGGGUGGAUGUAGUGCACUGUGGUUGAGAUCAAUCAGAAAAUCCCAUCCACUCAUGCUAAUGCAUCCAUGUGAAACAGAAAACGUAGGUUAUUAUUGUAUUAUUUCAUCAAUGAUAAGUCCUUCAUUGUCUCUGAAAAUGCUAAAUUCCUCUUUCAAACUUCAAAAUCAUUUUGAUGUCACAAAUAGGAAUGGAAAUUGGUAUUUAAGUAAAUUGGUAUUUUCCUGCAUAAAGAGAACUAUAAAACCAACUUCCACAGCAGUUACAACCUUCAGAGUUGAAUGAAUAGAUGAAAUGUGUAACUGAAAUAUUUUAAAAGUUGGAACAGCUCUAAAACCCUUUACUUUCUGCAAAAGGAAGACAUGAAAAUGCCACAGACUAAUCAAUUCUGUAUGGUUUCUGAACAGCAGCUAAUAAAAACACAUAUAUUUUUAAAUGUCUA